GACGAACGCUGGCGGCGUGCUUAACACAUGCAAGUCGAACGGAGAGGCCUGCUUUCCCUUGUGGAUUGCGGGUACUCGAGUGGCGAACGGGUGAGUAACACGUGAGUGAUCUGCCCCCAACUUGGGUAUAAGCCUGGGAAACUGGGUCUAAUUCCCGAUAGGACUGCAGGGUGGCGCCUGUGGUGGAAAACGAUUUUCUAGUGGUUGGGGAUGAGCUCGCGGCCUAUCAGCUUGUUGGUGGGGUAAUGGCCUACCAAGGCGGCGACGGGUAGCCGGCCUGAGAGGGUGGACGGCCACAUUGGGACUGGGAUACGGCCCAGACUCCUACGGGAGGCAGCAGUGGGGAAUAUUGCACAAUGGGCGGAAGCCUGAUGCAGCGACGCCGCGUGGGGGAUGACGGCCUUCGGGUUGUAAACUCCUUUCGACCGCGAGGAAGCCACCUGGUUGGAAGGGUGGUGACGGUAGUGGUAGAAGAAGCACCGGCUAACUACGUG
rnacentral:rRNA from 1 species